rnacentral:tRNA from 1 species
ACUUUCAAAGGAUAACAGCUCAAUCCACUGGCCUUAGAAGCCACACCCUCUUGGUGCAAAUCCAAGUGAAAGUA